UGGGUCUGGUGACUGCAUGUGGGAUGCAUACAUGUGCUGUGGUGGCUCUCGUUGUGCCUCUUGACUUCUCCGUGUCUUAGCCACAGUUUAAGUGGGAAUCCUCUGCUUACUUAGGAGCGGUUGCCAUGGUGACCUGCCAACAGGACAAAUACAAUUCUAAGAGGAAGGAAUGGCAUCAUAGAAACAGAGAGAGCAUCCAAGGUCAACACUGCUGGGAACUCUGCUGCCUGGGAUUCUAGGGCAGCCGGGACAUCAGCCUUGACAGGGACUGCUCAGGACCCCACAGGUGAGCAAAGAUCUGCCUUCAGCAGGAACCCUGUGGGCUUAGUGGCCCUGGCACCUCCUCUUGGCGACCCUAUACACCAAUCCUACAGCUCUGGUGGGAAUUCUCACUGCAUGAGCUAUGACUAGAGUCCAGCUCAGUCUUGAUUCUCCCUACAAGACCCCAUCAUGGCUCGCCCACUGAAGGCCCUGAAUAGAGGCUACCCUACUGUACUUCAGCACAGGCCAUUAAAAAGGCUACUGAAAGACUUGAUGGAAGCUACGGGAAGGUUCUGAGACAAGAUGGAUAUUGUCUGGCUACACUGUUGCAACUAGUAUCCAAGACGUGAAAAGCCAACAGUGUGGCCAGGGAGAGACGAGAAACAGAAGACAGCAGUAUGGUUUGGAUCCAAAAUGUCCCACAGACUAUGGUUUGGAUCCUUUUCCUCCUGGGUUUUUGGAGGUCAUAGAAACUUUCAUAGGUAGGGGAGGGCCUUCAAAGGUGAUUGGUACCUGCCCUGUUUGGCAUGGCUCUGUACUUUGCUUUCUGGCCUGUCGUCUUGAGAAGCCAAACACUUCCGCACCCUGUCACGUCAAUACCCCCACCCCCACUCCAACUCCCAGCUACUACAGGCAGAGCCUCUCUGCCUUCCUGGCUCAACCCAAGACCAAUAUCAUAAAACAAGACAAAUCCUUUCUCAAAUUGUUUUCUAGUCAGACACAGUCAAAGUAAGGUCAAAGGUGGAGUUCGGGAUGAAACCAUCAGAUGGUAGGGUAUGCGCAGAGGGUGGAUCCUGGUUCCAUAUCAUUCCAGAGUCCACCUCGAUCCCAGGAAGCCAGCUCCCCUUUCCCGUGGGGGUGGAUUCUGCCCUCCAGAGCUUUCUCUGUCCUGAGUUUUAAGUUCCUCAGCUGACUCAAGUGCCCACAGGACUGGCCCUGCCUCUUUCCUGGGCUCUGUAUUCUGCUUCUCUGUCCUCGUAGGGAAAGAUCUACACCAUGGUCAGCUCUGAGUCAGUACUUCCAAGGACUCCUCUCUACCUGGCAUACUCCCAACCUGAUCGUCCUCAUCCAGUUAUUAAGGGGUUUUUCUUCCCCUUGCUAUCCACGGAACAACUCAAUUCUCCCCACCUCGAGGAGCAGCCCCUGGCUUCUACUCACCACCGAGGCACCCUGUUUCAUUUUCACAUAAACAUCUGUCUCCCUGUCUGUGAGGAGACUGCACCACCCCCCGAAAGAAAGAAGCAACAUAAACCAGGGAUGUCGCUGGCAGCUUCUCGGCUUCCCCGGCUUCUGGAACAUGGCCCAGCCGAGACCAGGAAGCCGGUAGAGGAAGACUGCUGUGUUGGCUGUUUUCCUAAGAUUUAAACAGGUUCACGGCCCAAGAGCACGUUCGUCAUGUGAGGAUUCACCAGCACUGGCUAAAGCAUCCCUCUGCGGGACGGAACGGAGCUUCUCGGCCACAGCACAGCUGUCACUGACGGAUAAUACAGGAAAAAUCAAGGCCAGAUCCCUAAGCCACGUCUAAGAUGGGGGUGUCCAUGUACCACCAAUUCAUUUAACUCUACCUGCAUUGUUCUCCCUCGGGGCUUUCUGCAGCCCCUCCCCCACCCCAUCACUCCUUUCUCCUAGACUCUGACCUGUAGAGGCUUCUUCCUACAAAUGGUCUCUGGGAAAAGGUAACUAGCCAUCCCCUCCUUGUCUUGUAAAGCUGAGGUCACUGUUGCAAGGCUGACCUUAAAAGGCAGAGUUAUCCCAAGACACCCCUGUCCCCAAUUACUCUUCUUUACAUAUAUAGAAAGUGACACCUUCUCACAGCCCUGUGCUUGCCCGCACCUGGAUCUUUUAUACUGUCAAGCUUGGUGCCUCCCUCAUCCCCACAGGGCCACGGGAGAGCUAACCAGCUAUUUGUCUGAAAUCUUGACCAUGAACUCUGCAGCCGGCCCGCGGCUCAGUGCCCCCAGCAUGCAGUUCAGCAGAGCUGUCUGCAAGCUGCUCACCCUUCAUUCCUGCACAGAACCCUGUCAUGGCCGUGGAUGUGAGCCGUUCAAGAUCACAGGCUGGGUCCUGCUCUGACUGGCAGGCUGGACGUGAGCCACGGGCAAGUCAGCCUGUCUGGGUCACAGCCCACAUAGUCAAUCAUCCAGCCGCCAGGUGGUAGGCCGUGAUCCCACCACCUCUGUCUCUGAGUAGCAAGAUAUCAGACGAGUGUUGAGCAAAACUCCAGCACUCCAGGCGUCAGCAGUGAAGAGUGGUACCCCAGAAUCUCAGAUGUCUCUAAUGCUUAGUGCUGACCCAGCACCUGAGCAUCUAUGCAUUCAGUGAUGCUGAAGAAUCUCAGGGCAUGAACUUGUUUUUCCGCUGUGCUUCCUGGAAAUCUCCACCUGGUGAACUUGGGGUAUUUUUUUUUCUUUUCUUUUUUUCCGGAGCUGGGGACCGAACCCAGGGCCUUGUGCUUGCUAGGAAAGCUCUCUACCGCUGAGCUAAAUCCCCAACCCCGAACGUGGGGUAUUAUAUAUUCUGUGAACCUCAGUAAAGCUUUGGCAUUCUCGUAACACGAA